rnacentral:rRNA from 1 species
UACGGGGGGCAAGCGUUGUCCGGAAUCAUUGGGCGUAAAGAGCGUGUAGGCGGCUCGAAAGUCUGGUGUGAAAACUUGAGGCUCAACUUCAAGCUGUCACUGGAUACUCUCGAGCUUGAGUCCGGAAGAGGAGAGUGGAAUUCCUGGUGUAGCGGUGGAAUGCGCAGAUAUCAGGAGGAACACCUAUGGCGAAGGCAGCUCUCUGGUACGUGACUGACGCUGAGACGCGAAAGCGUGGGGAGCGAACAGG